AGAGUNUGCUCNNGGCUCAGANUNAACGGNGGCCNCAGGCNUCACACACACAAGUAGAGCGGUAGCNCAGNNAGCUUGCUCUUGGGUGACGAGCGGCGGACGGGUGAGUAAUGUCUGGGAAACUGCCUGAUGGAGGGGGAUAACUACUGGAAACGGUAGCUAAUACCGCAUAAUGUCGCAAGACCAAAGAGGGGGACCUUCGGGCCUCUUGCCAUCAGAUGUGCCCAGAUGGGAUUAGCUAGUAGGUGGGGUAACGGCUCACCUAGGCGACGAUCCCUAGCUGGUCUGAGAGGAUGACCAGCCACACUGGAACUGAGACACGGUCCAGACUCCUACGGGAGGCAGCAGUGGGGAAUAUUGCACAAUGGGCGCAAGCCUGAUGCAGCCAUGCCGCGUGUAUGAAGAAGGCCUUCGGGUUGUAAAGUACUUUCAGCGGGGAGGAAGGUGUUGAGGUUAAUAACCUCAGCAAUUGACGUUACCCGCAGAAGAAGCACCGGCUAACUCCGUGCCAGCAGCCGCGGUAAUACGGAGGGUGCAAGCGUUAAUCGGAAUUACUGGGCGUAAAGCGCACGCAGGCGGUCUGUCAAGUCGGAUGUGAAAUCCCCGGGCUCAACCUGGGAACUGCAUCCGAAACUGGCAGGCUUGAGUCUUGUAGAGGGGGGUAGAAUUCCAGGUGUAGCGGUGAAAUGCGUAGAGAUCUGGAGGAAUACCGGUGGCGAAGGCGGCCC
rnacentral:rRNA from 1 species